ACUUAAAUUGAAGAGUUUGAUCAUGGCUCAGAUUGAACGCUGGCGGCAGGCCUAACACAUGCAAGUCGAACGGUAACAGGAAGCAGCUUGCUGCUUCGCUGACGAGUGGCGGACGGGUGAGUAAUGUCUGGGAAACUGCCCGAUGGAGGGGGAUAACUACUGGAAACGGUAGCUAAUACCGCAUAACGUCGCAAGACCAAAGAGGGGGACCUUCGGGCCUCUUGCCAUCGGAUGUGCCCAGAUGGGAUUAGCUUGUUGGUGAGGUAACGGCUCACCAAGGCGACGAUCCCUAGCUGGUCUGAGAGGAUGACCAGCCACACUGGAACUGAGACACGGUCCAGACUCCUACGGGAGGCAGCAGUGGGGAAUAUUGCACAAUGGGCGCAAGCCUGAUGCAGCCAUGCCGCGUGUAUGAAGAAGGCCUUCGGGUUGUAAAGUACUUUCAGCGGGGAGGAAGGUGUUGUGGUUAAUAACCGCAACAAUUGACGUUACCCGCAGAAGAAGCACCGGCUAACUCCGUGCCAGCAGCCGCGGUAAUACGGAGGGUGCAAGCGUUAAUCGGAAUUACUGGGCGUAAAGCGCACGCAGGCGGUCUGUCAAGUCGGAUGUGAAAUCCCCGGGCUCAACCUGGGAACUGCAUUCGAAACUGGCAGGCUUGAGUCUCGUAGAGGGGGGUAGAAUUCCAGGUGUAGCGGUGAAAUGCGUAGAGAUCUGGAGGAAUACCGGUGGCGAAGGCGGCCCCCUGGACGAAGACUGACGCUCAGGUGCGAAAGCGUGGGGAGCAAACAGGAUUAGAUACCCUGGUAGUCCACGCCGUAAACGAUGUCUAUUUGGAGGUUGUGCCCUUGAGGCGUGGCUUCCGGAGCUAACGCGUUAAAUAGACCGCCUGGGGAGUACGGCCGCAAGGUUAAAACUCAAAUGAAUUGACGGGGGCCCGCACAAGCGGUGGAGCAUGUGGUUUAAUUCGAUGCAACGCGAAGAACCUUACCUGGUCUUGACAUCCACAGAACUUUCCAGAGAUGGAUUGGUGCCUUCGGGAACUGUGAGACAGGUGCUGCAUGGCUGUCGUCAGCUCGUGUUGUGAAAUGUUGGGUUAAGUCCCGCAACGAGCGCAACCCUUAUCCUUUGUUGCCAGCGGUCCGGCCGGGAACUCAAAGGAGACUGCCAGUGAUAAACUGGAGGAAGGUGGGGAUGACGUCAAGUCAUCAUGGCCCUUACGACCAGGGCUACACACGUGCUACAAUGGCAUAUACAAAGAGAAGCGACCUCGCGAGAGCAAGCGGACCUCAUAAAGUAUGUCGUAGUCCGGAUUGGAGUCUGCAACUCGACUCCAUGAAGUCGGAAUCGCUAGUAAUCGUGGAUCAGAAUGCCACGGUGAAUACGUUCCCGGGCCUUGUACACACCGCCCGUCACACCAUGGGAGUGGGUUGCAAAAGAAGUAGGUAGCUUAACCUUCGGGAGGGCGCUUACCACUUUGUGAUUCAUGACUGGGGUGAAGUCGUAACAAGGUAACCGUAGGGGAACCUGCGGUUGGAUCACCUCCUUACCUUAAAGAA
rnacentral:rRNA from 1 species